GAUGAACGCUGGCGGCGUGCCUAAUACAUGCAAGUCGAGCGAACGGGCGAGAAGCUUGCUUCUCUGAUGUUAGCGGCGGAGGGGUGAGUAACACGUGGAUAACCUACCUAUAAGACUGGGAAAACUUCGGGAAACCGGAGCUUAUACCGUAUAAGAUUUUGAACCGCAUGGUUCAAAAGUGAAAGACGGUCUUGGGGGCACUUAUAGAUGGAUCUCCGCUGCAUUAGCUAGUUGGUAAGGUAACGGCCUACCAAGGCAACGAUGCAUAGCCGACCGGAGAGGGGGGUAGGCCACACUGGAACGGAGCCACGGACAAGACUCCUACGGGACGCAGCAGUAGGGAACCGUCCGCAGUGGGCGAAAGCCUGACGGAGCAACGCGGCGCGAGUGAUGACGGUCUUCGGAUCGUAAAAAUCUGUUAUUAGGGAAAAACAUCUGUGUAAGUAACUGUGCACAUCUUGACGGUACCUAAUCAGAAAGCAACGGCUAACUACGUG
rnacentral:rRNA from 1 species